rnacentral:rRNA from 1 species
AUUGAACGCUGGCGGCAGGCCUAACACAUGCAAGUCGAGCGAGCGGCGGACGGGUGAGUAAUGUCUGGGAAACUCCCGGAGGGAGGGGGAUAACUACUGGAAACGGUAGCUAAUACCCCAUACCAUCGGAGGGCCCCGGAUGGGAUUAGCUAGUGGGGGGGGUAACGGCUCACCUAGGCGACGAUCCCUAGCUGGUCUGAGAGGAUGACCAGCCACACUGGAACUGAGACACGGUCCAUACUCCUACGGGAGGCAGCAGUGGGGAAUAUUGCACAAUGGGCGCAAGCCUGAUGCAGCCAUGCCGCGUGUGUGAAGAAGGCCUUCGGGUUGUAAAGCACUUUCAGCGGGGAGGCGUUACCCGCAGAAGAAGCACCGGCUAACUCCGUGCCAGCAGCCGCGGUAAUAC